CUGCCAGAGGAUAAUAGUUAUUCCAUUGGUCUUAGGCA
rnacentral:tRNA from 1 species